rnacentral:rRNA from 1 species
UACGUAGGGUGCAAGCGUUGUCCGGAAUUAUUGGGCGUAAAGAGCUCGUAGGCGGUCUGUCGCGUCUGCUGUGAAAACUCGGGGCUUAACCCCGGGCCUGCAGUGGGUACGGGCAGACUAGAGUGCGGUAGGGGAGACUGGAAUUCCUGGUGUAGCGGCGAAAUGCGCAGAUAUCAGGAGGAACACCGGUGGCGAAGGCGGGUCUCUGGGCCGUAACUGACGCUGAGGAGCGAAAGCAUGGGGAGCGAACAGG